UAACAAAACCCUUUCUCCAUGACCCAUUUUCCACACACAUUUUCUCUUCUACAUUUCUUAUUCAUCCACGCUGAACCCUAAACGAGACGGUAUCUAGGGUUCACUGGAUCAUCAGUUUCCUUCUGCUACCACCAGUUCUUCUUCUCAAUCUCCCUCACCACCACCACCACCACCACCACCACCACCACCUUGAUCUUCUUCAUCUAAAAGGUUAAAAUUGAUUCACCCAACCAAUGGAUGAAUCAUGUGAAAUGCCUGAGGCACAAAAAGGUGCAGGUGGAAAGACAAUUGGUGCUUCACCUAAAGUACCCAAAACAGGCUUAAAGGUGGGAUUACUUGAAGAUGUUGCUCUAUCAGCACCUCGUGAUCUUGUUAAGGUUUCUAUUUCAGGUGCAAUGCCGGUUAUGCCACCUCCAGCUACAAGUGAGGAACAAAUGGCUUCGCCUGAAGUACCCAUAAAAGGUUUAAAGGAGGAAUUACUUGAAGAUAUGGCUACGACAACACCUCUUGAUCUUGUUACAUUAGGUUCUCAUAUCUUUUAGUUGAUUUUUUUGAGGGCACCACAAUACUUAGUGGAGAUUAUGAUUUUGGGAUCCUUGUAGGUUAUAUGGUGCAAGUGGAUCCGCGUGGUGUUGCAGGCGUGUCCGUGAGUAUUUGAUCAAUAAGAUUGAAAAAAAACAUAGGAAGGGGAGAGUUUUAACGUCAAGAAAGGGUGCAACAUAUGCAAAGAGGUUUCUUAAUAUCCCAGUGGAGGUGUUGAAGAAUAAUGUACCAGGAGAUUAUUUAGACUUUGAUAAAAUGAUUUGUGGGGUAACACUUGGUAUGUAUGAGCCGAAGGAGGAAGUGAAGUCAAAGAAGCUACAGAAGUCAAGCAAGAAACAUAAGUCUAAUAAGAGAACACAUGAAGAGGUUGAAGAAGAAGAAGGUCAGAAAGUGAAGUCAAAGAAGCUACAGAAGUCAAGCAAGAAACAUAAGUCUAAUAAGAUAACACAUGAAGAGUUUGAAGAAGAAGAGUCAGAAAGUGAACUCAAAGAAGAUACAGAAGUCAAGCAAGAAACAUAAGUCUAAUAAGAGAACACAUGAAAAGGUUGAAGAAGAAGAAGGUCAGAAAUCUAAGUUUGAUCCCUCACACUAUUUUGCAUCAACAGAAUUUAUUACCAAAAGAAGAGCAGGAUUGUAUUAUAUAUGCAAGGACGAAGAAAUUACUAAAGUUGAAAGAUUUAAGGUUGAUGGUCAUGAUGAUGGCAAGGCUGAAAGUUAUCUUGAAAGUAAUUAUGAUCGUACUCAUAUUAUGGACAUUGCUGUUAUGCAUAUGGAGGAAGCUAUGGUUGAGGGUUGCGAGUCUGGACAAAGUGGAGGCAUGAUCACAAUUGAUUGUAUUGACCACAACAAUACAAUCACGAAUGUCUGUGAGAAAGAUAUAGAACAAUUGCGUCAGGAAAAGCUUCAACGAGAUAUAGCAUUUUACGAUGCUAAUAGUAAAAGAACAUCAAAACCUGUUUUAGGGAAGUACGACAUAAGGGGGUAGACAAAUGUUACAGAGAUUGGGGGAGUUGAUGAGCUGACUGUUGAAGACAAUUGGAAGAGACAAAUCAAUCUGGGCUCUCACUGUUACCCUGUCAGAAAUAUGUUGUUUUGGUCAGUCAGCAUUAGGUUCUAUUGGUCGUAUUUGUCUUAUGUUAUAAUCUAGAUUAUUUUGUCCUCUACAGUUGUGGUUCUUCUAUUAGGACCGGUUAUGAACUUCUCUAUAUCUUGACUGGAAAGUUAUAAACUUUGGUCUGUCUUUCUUGGAAUCUUGUUAAUGGACCAAUUUUGUCUAUGGUUAAUUGUUUGGUAUAGUGACCGAUUGUGGUGAUUUUGUACACCUUUAAACACAUUAUUGCAAGCAAGCAAACAAACAAGUUGAGCA